rnacentral:lncRNA from 1 species
UAGUUUUCUAAGAGGUAGAAGAAAAACAGGUUCAUAGAGUUGGUCGGCACAAAUUACUGGCUGCUGCAGCUGCUUGUUUUUUUGUACAGGGAUUGGACCCAGGGACACACUACCACCGAGCUACACCCCAUCCCCUUUUUAUUUUUUAUUUUGAGACCAAUUCUCUUGAUAAAUGUUCCAGGCUGGCCUUGAUCUUGUGAUCCUCCUGCCUCACUCAGCCCUCCUAAGGCAGGACUGGGAUCCCAAGUGGGGGCUCUCACACCAGCUGUUUCCCUUCACUGUUUACCACUCUACCCUGGCAACAUUAAUUUUCAGAAUUCACGGGGUCUCCCAUGUUAUCCACUUGCUUUGAUAACCUAUAGGGGUUUCAGGGGACAGAAUAGUGAGCUGCCCAACUGGCUAGAGGUGUUCCACAGCUAUAUUUAUAUUAUAUACUAUUGAUGUUGGUGACCAGAACUGGCUUUUGAAGCUCCAAGAAAUUAAGAAAAAGUUAGCCCCCAAAGAAACAGAGGUCUCCAAAAGCGGUUAAGUGCUCAGGCCCCAAGUUAACCAAUAAAUGAAAGAAAAGGAGUGGCAUUUACCUAGUAUCUGCAUGGGCUGGGCAUUGCGGUUAGUAGAUACUGUUAUAAAUAAAACUGCAGAAUCAGUAAUAAUGUCAAAACAAGACUAAACCCCAUGGCUACCAGGCCUCUGUAGAAUGUUCUACAUGUCUGUAUAACCACUUAAUGUACAUUUAGACUCAUAACUACCCACAAGGUGACCUCUAUGCAGCCUGUGAUUUUAUGCAUUAAAUCCGGACCUUUAAGCUGCCUGUCCUCUGCUAGCUCAGUCUUUGAGUGCAGCCUGCCUGAGACUGGCUUAGCUCCUGGCCUGCUCUGAGAUCCCACCAAGUUGGGACCCAAAGAGUAGACUGAGGUCUACUCUCACUUUUUCUUCCUCCUCUUCCCAGCCUAUGAGUGGAGGGGCUUAGUCCCAGUUGCAAGGACAAUGUCUCAAUCACCACAGCUCAUAGAAAGCAACUUGUGCAGGCUUGAAGGCAGCCUGGCCAGAGUGCUGCAGUUUUUUUCAGGAGAAGCAGGUUGAGGUUGAUUUCCUAAGAGCCAAUCUGCAGAAAGCCAGUUUUCAAAUGGCCAAUUCAUAGUUGGUAGAGUUGUAAACUGAAGGACCAAUUUACAAAACAACCAAUUACUUUUUUUCCUCCUUGGUCUUAACUGACCAGUAUUUAUCCUGUCUUUACAAUAGAAUUUGGAAGAAAGGUACCUUGCUUUCUCUCUUCUGCCCUGGAGCUACAACUGAGGAGAAACCGGAAGAGCUAGGGGCUGAGAUCCAGCAGCUUUUGUAGAACUUUCCUCAGAGUGACUUUCUGGGAAUUGACAGAGGGCCUAUUCUAAGUUUCUACCAUCUUCUUUCCAAAGGGAAUUAGUAAAGCUUUGCCAUUUAGUUUUUUUCUUUAUUUUUCUUUUGGUAUUUGGGUUUAAACCCAGGAGCUAUACCACUGAGUUACAUCCUAAACCCUUUAUAAUGUUAAGUCAGAGACUUGCUAAAUUGCCCAGGUUGGCCUUGAACUUGAGAGCCUCCUACCUCAGCCUCCCAAGCUGCUGGGGUUACAGGCAUGUGCUGCUGCAUCCAGCUAGACUUUGCCGUUUCUAAUUUGUCUUUGACAAGUCAGUAUUGGCAAGUUCACAAAAAUUUCCAUCUGUACACACAGAGGAGAAAGCCCUGAGGGGUCAGAUUGGAGAUGCUGGCCUAAAAGAUUGUAGGGAUGUGGUCUCAAGUCAAGCCAUGCCAGUGGCCACCAGGAGCUGGAGGCUCAAGAAGCAGUUUCAACCCCAGAACCUCUGGAGGGAGAGCAGCCCUGUCCAUACCUCAGUUUCAGUCCAGUGACACUACUUUCAGACUUCUGCCCUCCAGAGAGAGUAAACUUUUGCUGUGUUAAGCUACCAGUUGGGGUAAUUUGUUACAGCAACUUUAGGAAACCAACACAGAUUUUUGCCAGUCGGACAAACCACAGAGCUAAGUUGGGGACAGCCUUAGGCCUCGCUGGGCCACCAGCCAGGGUUCUGCAUUUGGGGAUAUCAGAUGGAAAGGCAGAAACAGACUAGCUCUCACAGACAGCAGAGUACAAGCCACAGUGCCUGCUUUUAAUUAACCCCAAACAAUAUAUCCUUCUCAUUACUGUCCAACAAAAUUACAGUUUUCUGAUUUUAUUUUUUUCCAGGAAGGUGCCAUUCAUUCAUUAAUUAACUUAUUUAUUGUGGUACUGGGGACUGAACCCAGGCCCUCAUGCAUACUAGGCCAGUACAUCCCCACCCCAACUUAUAUUUUGGAAUGAAUGCCCCGUGCGGUAGUUCCAGAUACUUGGGAGGCUGAGGCUGGAGGAUCACUUGGGCCCAGGAGUUCCAGACCAGCCUGGGCAACCUAGCAAGACUCUGGGUCAAAAAGGAAAAAGAAAAUUUUUUUUAUAAAGAUGAAAAUAAAUCCCAUAUGAAAUAAAAAAAAAAUUCCAAGGAAAUAAUAUAAAAUGUAGGCAAAUUUCUGAUAUGAUUGUGUGGGUUUUGUUUCGUUUGUUUUUUUUGUACUAGGAAUCGAACCCAGGGGCACUCUACCACUGAGCCACACCCCCAGCCCUUUUCUGUAUUAUAGACACAGGGUGUCACUGAGUUGCUUAGGGACUCGCUAAGUUGCUAAGGCUGGCUUUGAACUCUCGGUCCUCCUGCCUCAGCCUCUCCAGCCGCUGGGAUUACAGAUGUGCACCAUGGCUCCUGGCUGUGACUGUGUUUUAUGCAAUUGUAACCCCCUCCCUCAUGCACUCUGUCCAGUCUUCCCCACACAGCCAGAGUGAUUUGUGAAAAACGCAAUCUGAUCAUGUCAUGAAAUUUAAGAAAAUUAUAAACUAUCAUUUAAUGGGAGGAGAGACAGGCAGUCGGAAUCCAGGAAGGGGCCAAGGAGGCUUUAGCCAUGCAGACAGGGCUCUGGUUGAGAAAGCAUAUUGGAUCCAUGGGUGCUACAGCUUAGAUCUGGGGUGUCCCCCAAAGUCUCAUAUUGAAAGCAUGAUUGCCAGUGCAGCAGGGUUCAGAGAGGAGGCUUCUAGGCAAGGACUGUAUCAUGAGGGCUGUGCCCUCAUCAGUGACUAAUCCACCAAAUGGUAUCAUCAAAUGGAUAGCAUAUCUGUAAGCCCAGGGACUAGGGAGGCUAAGGCAGGAAGACUGCAAAUUUGAGGCCAACCUAAGCAACUCAGCAUUGCCCUAAGCAACCUAGCAAGACCCUGUCUCCAAAUAAAAAAUAAAACAGGCUGCACUGAACCUCUGGGUUCAAUCCUCGGUACCAAAAAAUAAAUAAAUUGACAGCUGAAUGGACUAUUGGGCGGUAGGACCUACUUGGAAAAAGUGGGUCACUGCAGGCAUAUCCUGGAGGGGUUGGUCUCUACCCGGGUCCCUUCCCCUCUCUGUUCUCAGGCUGCCAUGGACGGGGCCACUCUCCUCCACCAAGCCCUUCUGCGAAGAAGCUUCUGCAUUGGAGGCAGCCAGCGCAGACUGAAAGCUGUUAAACCGUGAGCCAAAAUAAACCUUCCCCCUCCAGGUUGUUCAUGUCAGGUAUUUUGGUCACAGUGAGGAGAAGCCAACUAACACACUGAGUAUUUGGUUCAUUGUCAUAUUUCAGUGACUUACUCGGUGUUGCAUACGUGUGCUUUAUACAUUUCAAAUAUCUACACCAUCACCACCAACAGCAAAACAACGUGACGGCUUCCUAACGUUCCUAAGGUAAGGCAGACAGGCAGAAACCUUGACGUGACUGGUGGGGCCUCGUCUGCCUGGACCUGCGGUCCUCGCCUCUCGCCCUCAGUCCCUGCUUCUCAGCCUCCCCAGCCUCCUCUUCCCUUCCUGCAGGCUGCCAGGCUCCCUGCUGGCCGGCUCUUGCCUGUUCCUCCUGCUGUCACCUUCAGAAGGUCGGGGAGCACCGACCCUGCCCCCGAACCUCUCCUUUGCAGCAAGUUCACACCUAUGGUUUACAUUUCUUUGUUGGUUUCUGGGUUAGUGUCAGUCUCUCUAACCUCAGGUUCCAUGAGGCCAGAACUACACCUGGCGCUUCACAGAACAUGGUAGGCCACCCAAAGUAUUAUUGAAAAACGAAACAUGUACGUUUUCCUUGAAAGACAGGCCAUAGCUGUGGCACUCCCACACAAACCAGAGUCUUCCCACAGGAAGGUGACGGAUCUCGUUCUAAACUGUCCUUCCCACUGCACACUCCAACUCUGAUUGACCCGGCCCACGCCCUGUCUCUCUGGAGUUCCAGGUUGAAGUUCCAAUAUGGAGUGAGUGCACUAAUAAAUUAACCCACAAAGCAACAAAUUCUGACAGCUGCCUGGGCUGCACUACCCGGGCACCCAGCCCUGACGCACACACAGCAAGAGCCCACUUAUCAGAAGCCUCCACAAACCUCUGUCCUGCCCACUGCUAAAGACCAAGUUCCCAAUCCAGAUAACACCAGCCAGCAAGCAGUAUUUGGAGACUUGAUAUAGAGGCUGUGAGUAGGUUCUAAAAAGCUACCUCGUCCAGACUCCUCUCCCACUGCCUAAAUUUUAAACUAGACUGGCUUUGCCUUUGCUAGACAGGAAAACUCCCACUGCGCACUCCGUCUUUGAUGGCAGAGUCUGUAUUUUCUGCUUAACAAAGAAGGCUCAAGGGGCUGGGGGUAUAGCUCAGUUGCCAGAGUGCUUUUCUUGCAUCCACAGGGCCCUGGGUUCAAUCCCCAGAACCAUCACACACACACAAAAAAAGAAAGAAAGCUCAAGGAAGGCAGGACUUCAGAGAGAUGAAUGAGACCCUGUUAGUUUCCACCCCUGCACCCCAAGCUGAUGAACCUUUUCUUACUAGGCGCUGCCCACCUGAAUCAGUCUCCUUGUCUGGGAAGUUCCAGGCUUAUGGGGUGGCUGUAGGGGUGGGUGGGGGGAAGGAUUCUUAUUUAAUACAACAAAGAGUCAACAUUGUACUUUGGAAUAGUUAGAUAUUGCCAUUAAAAUGAAAAAUAAAAUAAGGAGGGCUAUAGUUACCAUUCCUUUUUUUAGGAAUUUAACCUUUACUUUUUAUUUAUCUGUUCUUUUAUGUAGUGCUGAGGAUGGAACCCAGUGGCUCACCCUUUCUCGGCAAGCGCUCUACCACAGAGCCACAGCCCAGCCCAAUACAGUUACCAUUUUUAUCUUAUUAACUCUAAGAGCCACUGUCUUCAUACCUUAGUAUUUCUGAUAUUGGAACAUGAAUUGCAUUAUAAAUGCAUUCUCAGUAUAGUGCCCUCCAUUUGUUAUUAAAUCAAGAGCAUGUUCUUAUGCUCAAUGGUCUUAGAAAAAAAAUUCACAUCCUUACACAUGAAUAUUAUGGCAUAUUCUACAUCCCCAAAAGAAAUAAGCAAUAAACUAUAGUUUUUGUUCAGAUGUGAGGUGUUCCCCAAAAGUUCAUGUGCGAGAUAACGCAAGAAUGUUCAGGGGUGAAUGAUCAGAUUAUGAGAGUCACAAUCCAGUCAGUGGUCAACCCCCUGGUGUGGAUUCACUGGUGGUAACUAGGCAGGUGGCUUGUGGCUGGAGGGAGGACUGGGGUGUGCCUUUGUCCUCUGUGAGCCUCUCUCCCACUUCCUGGUUGCCGAGUCCUGAGCUGCUUCCCUCUGCCAGCCUUCCACCAUACUGUUCACGGCAGGCCCAGAGCCAUGGGGUCAGCUGGCCGUGAACUGAGCCCCUGAAACCAUGAGCCAAAAUAGACAUUUCCUUUUUCUAGGUUGGUCUUGUCUGGUCUUUUGGUCACGGCAACACAAAGCUAACUAAAAUAACUAUUAAAAAGGAAAGAAAGGGGCUGGGAUUGUGGCUCAGCAGUAGAGCGCUCGCCUAGCACGGGCGGGGAGCGCGGGCGGGAUCCGGGUUUGAUCCUCAGCACCACAUUAAAAUAAAGGCAUUGUGUUGUGUCCAUGUACACCUAAAAAUAAUUUUUUUUGAAGAGGAGAGAAAAUGGAUUAUGUGAAGAUGAUACUAUCACAACCCUAGUUGAGCCAAGAGGUUCAAUUGACAAACUCUUUUUUUUUUUUUUUUUAAUAUUUAUUUUAUUUUUUUUAGUAUUUGGCGGACACAACAUCUUCGUUUGUAUGUGGUGCUGAGGAUCGAACCUGGGCCGCAUGCAUGCCAGGCGAGCGCGCUACCGCUUGAGCCACAUCCCCAGCCCCUGACAAACUCUUAAAAUGAACACCUGUCAAGGAAUAUGGCUAGAUAUAAGAAAAAUAUACAAAACACAACAAUUUCCUUAUACUUAGGGGAAAUAUUCUAUUUUUUAAUAGCAAGCAAAACAUAAAAAGAAAUAUCUAGGAAUAAUUUUAAGAAAUAUGUAGAGCUUGCAUGCAGCAAGUUAUAAAAAUUUGAGUAUAUGUCCUAAAUAGAAAGAUAUACUAACCCCUAUAAAUGCUAAUUCCUGCCAAAUUUUAAAACAAUUUACUACAAACUCUAUGAGGCUGGGGGAUAGGGAGUGGGUGCCACAUUUCCUCAAACGAACCCUACUGUGUGUAGAAUCCAGUGCAUAAUAAAGAUUCAAAAGCCAUAGCCGUGAGGGACCGGGGCUGUGGCUCAGUGGUAGAGCACUUGCCUGGUACGUGUGAGGCACUGGGAUCGAUCCUCAGCACCACAUAUAAAAUAAAGAUAUCGUGUCCAGCUGCAGCUAAAAAAAAGCUGUAGCAAUGAGAAGACGGAUAAUUCAAUAGAUGGAGCUGGGGCAACUGGUUGGCUAUUUGAAAGAAAAAACAAAAAUCUAGAUUCUUGCUUUACAUUAAUAGACCCAAUUUCAAUUGUAAUAAAAGAUUAAAUAUAGAAACCCCUUAAGUAAAAAUGAAUUUUAAAAAGGCUGUGUGUAUUAUUUGAUCUGUUUCACAGCAGAAUCACAAAGGAGAAGACUGAUAUCGGUUCACUGCAAAUAAGUUUUGUAUUUAAGAAAAACAACAUGAUGUUUGAAAAUGUUCACAGUAAAAAGUUUAAAAAUAUAUAAACCAAUACACAAAUGAAAACACAGACGUCACCGUCCCCACACGUGCGCAAGACAGUUAAUAUGUACACGUGUGUGUGAUGCUCACGCACCUGGAGCAGAGUGAACGCACGGCAGCUCUCAGGUGGCAGCACUGAGAUUAUCUUUUCAUUCCCACGACCAUCUUGUGAGAGAAGCGCUCACUGCCUGUUUAUGGAAGGGGAAGCUGAGUGGAACACAGUCGGAGAGGUUCCAAGAGUAUACAGUGAAUGCCAGGCAUUCAGACCCAGGCAUCUUGGCUCCAGAGUGGGUGCUCCUGGCCAUGAAGCUAUGUUAUCCCCACUAAAACAAAGCGCAAGUGCUUGUCAGACAUUCAGGAAAAUAUUCAAACUAACAGAGACAUGAAAAUGAGUCAGCAGUUAACCACUGGGAUGACUCAGCGCUGGUGGGGACCACGGCUACCUUCAUGAUCUAAUCGGAUUCUUGGAAUCCAUCUUGGCCUCUUUGAAAAGUUCUCAAAUCUGAUUUAGGUCCCUGCCACCUGUGUUCUAUAAGCCUUUCUAUAAGCCCAUUCCUCCUAGGAUAAAGGCCCCAGAGUGAAACAAGAUCUGCACCAGGUCCCCACCCCUGGUCUAGCCCACUCUCAACAGACUUCAAGAGCACCUUCUGUCCUACUGCCCAAUAGCACAGAACUCUCUUGCAGUCUUGAAAAAGCCAAAUCACAGACUCUUUUCUCUUCUGGUCUUGUUCUGAUAUCAGAGGGCAUCUAAAGUUCGCAGUCCCCAGAACCCUAGGUAGCUUUCUUUGUAAUCUUACGUAGUUGUCGUUCUACGUUCCUGAGAUCAUUUGAUUAAUCACAUCUGUCUGUCCUGUGUAGAAAGUCUUGUGCUUCCAUGAGCCACCACAGUGCCUUGUCUACAGACGGUGCUCAAGAACUGUUUCCCAAAUGAAUGUCACGUACUGAGCAAAUGAAAGAAAGGGGGGGGGGAGAAGAGGAAAAAAUAACAAGGACAGGAGAAGACUCAGGCACUUUCCUAUGCCAGUAGUGAGGCUACCUGAUGGGUUCAACUUCUUCACCAAGUGAUAGGUUAAUGUGUGCUGAAAGCCUUUAGUACGUUUAGAACUUCAGUUAAUAAUGAUCAUGUGAAAGUAAUAAAUUAUUUCAUCAUUAUUCAUUAAACAAUGUCAUUAAGUCAUAAAAUCAAUCUCGAGGAAGAGAAUUUGAAACUUAGCAUGAACAUCGAUGUUCACAUGAACAAACAGCAUGGUUUAAAAUAGCAAAAAACUGAAACGAGCUUUAACACUUGAAGCUGUAGACCUGCUCCAGUGGAUCAUGACAAAGAUGAUACUUACUGACAAUGGGAGAGGUUAAUUUCCUAAACAGAACCCCAAACCGUAAACCUAGCACAGGUGCAGCUUUGAAGACUCAUGUGCCCAAGAGGCGAACACUGCUGACCAGCUGCCCACCCCAGCAUGGAGCCUUCCUUUCUGGGAACCCUGAUCUUUGUCCACUUACCUCUGAGAGGAUCAGCUCUCUCUGAGACCCAGAGGGAGGCGACCUUGAUGGUCUUGGCAUUCCACUCCCUCAGGUGGGCAGUGAUACAUGGGAUAAUUGUGGCCAGCAAACCACCCAAAGAAGUCUGUUGGGGAAGGGUUUCUGGGGCAAGGGUCCCUUGCUGUGAGUAGGUGACAUCUGAAGAUGGUGGAGUGAAGGGCUGGACACUGUUGAGUUGCUGGGUCAACCAGCACAGCAAUGCAUGAAACACCCAAAUAUUAAUGGUGACGUCUGAGAGGCGGGACUUCAGACAACUCAUAAAGAUCAAGAAAAGUUGUCCUGCAUCCAUUACACUUAGG